ACAAGGUUUCCGUAGGUGAACCUGCGGAAGGAUCAUUCAUAAUAAGUGUUUAUGGCACUUCUUAAAUCCAUAUCCACCUUGUGUGCAAUGUCAGCCGUUUUCCUUAUGGAAUCGGCCAAACAUCAACUUAUUUUUUAACUGUCUGUCUGAAAACUAUUAUGAAUAAAACAAUUCAAAUACAACUUUCAACAACGGAUCUCUUGGCUCUCGCAUCGAUGAAGAACGCAGCGAAAUGCGAUACGUAAUGUGAAUUGCAGAAUUCAGUGAAUCAUCGAAUCUUUGAACGCAUAUUGCGCUCUUUGGUAUUCCGAAGAGCAUGCUUGUUUGAGUAUCAGUAAACACCUCAAAGUCUCUAAUUCAGUUUGGAGACUUUGGACUUGAGCAAUCCCAACACCAGUCCUCGCGACUGGCGGAGGGCUGCUUGAAAUGCAGGUGCAGCUGGACAUUCUCCUGAGCUAUAAGCAUAUUUAUUUAGUCCCGUCAAACGGAUUAUUACUUUUGCUGCAGCUAACAUAAAGGGAGUCUGACCAUAUUGGCUGACUGAUGCAGGAUUUCACAAGGGCUGGCAACAGCUUCUUGUAAAACUCGAUCUCAAAUCAAGUAAGACUACCCGCUGAACUUAAGCAUA
rnacentral:rRNA from 1 species